rnacentral:rRNA from 1 species
GACGAACGCUGGCGGCGUGCUAAACACAUGCAAGUCGAACGAUGAACCCGGAGCUUGCUCCGGCGGAUUAGUGGCGAACGGGUGAGUAACACGUGAGUAACCUGCCCUUGACUCUGGGAUAACUGCUAGAAAUGGUAGCUAAUACCGGAUACGACCCUCGGUGGCAUCACCAGGGGGUGGAAAGAAUUUCGGUCAAGGAUGGACUCGCGGCCUAUCAGCUAGUUGGUGAGGUAACGGCUCACCAAGGUGACGACGGGUAGCCGGCCUGAGAGGGUGACCGGCCACACUGGGACUGAGGCACGGCCCAGACUCCUACGGGAGGCAGCAGUGGGGAAUAUUGCACAAUGGGCGCAAGCCUGAUGCAGCAACGCCGCGUGAGGGAUGACGGCCUUCGGGUUGUAAACCUCUUUUAGUAGGGAAGAAGCGAAAGUGACGGUACCUGCAGAAAAAGCACCGGCUAACUACGUGCCAGCCGCCGCAGUAA